rnacentral:lncRNA from 1 species
UUUAUUUUUUAAAAAAUAUUAGGUAUAUGUCCCAAAUGUUACGGUGAGCCUCCAAUAAAUACAUUCUAUAUACUUAUAAUGGUAUAUAAAGAUCUCCACAAAAAAUAAAAUAAAAAAGAUAAGAGAGGACGAAGACAAAUCAAAAAAUCUAGUACGUUGUCAUGAAAGCAAAAUAAAAUAACUUUAUUAAAUAAAAUAAUUCAUCACCAUAUGCAAUCUUCGGGACGAGCGCUAAUUAAAUAUGACAACUUCCGGCUUCAUUAACCAAAUAAUCCCGACCUAUCUAUUUAUAACUAAUUAUAUAGAAUCCUACUCUCAUUCGAUUUCACCUUAACCAUAAUCUAAAUAAUCGAAUAUAUUUUAACCAUAAUCGAAUAUAAUAAUAGAUAAGAUCAAAUAAUCUAAUUCUAAUUUCAUUAGCAUUAUCUUUAACACCA